GAUGAACGCUGGCGGCGUGCCUAAUACAUGCAAGUCGAGCGAACAGACGAGGAGCUUGCUCCUCUGACGUUAGCGGAGGACGGGUGAGUAACACGUGGAUAACCUACCUAUAAGACUGGGAUAACUUCGGGAAACCGGAGAUAAUACCGGAUAAUAUAUUGAACCGCAUGGUUCAAUAGUGAAAGACGGUUUUGCUGUCACUUCUAGAUGGAUCCGCGCCGCAUUAGCUAGUUGGUAAGGUAACGGCUUACCAAGGCAACGAUGCGUAGCCGACCUGAGAGGGUGAUCGGCCACACUGGAACUGAGACACGGUCCAGACGCCUACGGUAGGCAGCAGUAGGCAAUCUUCCGCAAUGGUCGAAAGCCUGACGGAGCAACGCCGCGUGAGUUAUGAAGGUCUUCGGAUCGUAAAGCUCUGUUAUUAGUGAAGAACAAAUGUGUAAGUAACUAUGCACGUCUUGACGGUACCUAAUCAGAAAGCCACGGCUAACUACGUG
rnacentral:rRNA from 1 species